GCCCAAUUGGUUACUUUGUCUGCAAGAAUUUGACAAGGGAUCAUUCAUAUAGGCAGAGAAAGAUGGAGGAGCAAAAAUGUACAAUGCACUAAAAUAUGUCUAAGUGGAAGAUAUUUUGAAGGAAAAAAAAAAAAAAACCUUACAAUUAUACAAAAUAUAUUUGCUAAAAAAAAAUUCUUCAGUUUUAAACUAAAGCAAGAUCCCAGUUACAAACUAGUUAUACAGAAACUUCUCUAGAUGCAAUCCAUAAGCCUCCUCUAAUCAAUGCAUAGAGAAAAUUAGUACCAAAAUCCUAAAAUUCAAAUUUGAGUCUCCAGCUAUACGAAGUACCUGCUAUUGCUUUUGUUUGUGCAGCAACAACAGCCA
rnacentral:misc_RNA from 1 species